rnacentral:lncRNA from 1 species
AAGAGAAUGUAACAGAAUUAAUACGUGGUUAUAUAAAAGACACAAAUGGCCAUGAUAUGGGUCUGCCUUGAAACAGCACAAUGGGGUAUUAUUAGUGUGUCUGAUUCUCUGAGACGCUCUCGUGUUGGUCUUGUCUGCUGCUGCCUGUCCGUCCGUCCUCUGGGCCAACGGCGCAGUUGCUACGGCUCAUCUCGAACCCGAGUGUGGCAGCCUUUUCCCUAACUUCUGUGCGUUCUAUGACUGUGUGUUGUUUCCAAAGCUGUUCCUACCUCACCAUGAGGCUUUAUGGAUUGUUCUGUAUUAUAAAUGUUCUAUAUGAGACAAGACUACUGUGUUUCUUCUCAUUUAUUAAAAGUUAAGUAGAAAAAUAAACUAAUUCCAG